CUAAAUCAAAACAUACAUACAAUGAUUUUUUGGUGGAAAUUUGAACUUCUUAAUAUUAGGAGGUUAUAAAUAAAAUUGAGGGAGUGAUACCAAGAGAUCUUUGUUGACAAUUCCUUCAAAGAGAGAAGGUUUCAUCCACCCCUCAGCCAAAAGCCAGUUUCCUAGAUUCACUGCUUUGUAUGGCGGAUUUCCCAUUUUUGAAAUGGCUUGUAACCAAAGAUUGUGUGUUUGUCUGUGUGAGACUGUGUGUGUGUAUAUAUAAUAGCAAUGAACCAAUGUUACGAGUUAAAGGGUUCCAUAAGAAAUUGCUAUAUAAGUUUUGAAAUCUAUGUUGUGUACCAAAUGUAAAUUAGAAGUUUUAUUGGUAUUUUCUAAGUAAGAGAAUCUAUAAACACACUGUCUUUCGGUUUUGGAUUAAUGAUGUGGUAUCGAACUCAUUUGUGUGGUUGUUCUUGAUUCGAUGUGAAUGACCUCUUUGUUUCGAAAGUCUUUAUGUCAAUUUAGAAGGUGUGUUUUGUUGAUUGUCACAACAACGGUACAAGUACAAAUGUACGUGGAUGAAAGAAAAAUUGUUUAAUGAAUUAAUGGACUUAUACUUGAGGUGGAAAUUAUUGUAUACAUUAUAAUUGAGAUAUCCACGAAACGAAUGUCUUAAAAUUUUAGGUUAAGGAUAUGAUAUACAACUCAUGACCCAACAAUUUCUAAUUAUGGUGAGUUAUUGACACUCACUUAAAUUUUAAACUUUUGUUUGGGAAAAGAAUAAAAGAAAGAGUCCAGGUUGGCUGCGUUUCCGCUGCAUUAUUCAAAGUCUCUCUAGAUUUUAAUAUUAGGAAGUGUGGCUUUUAACAUAGACAAAUGGUGGCCAAGAUACAUCUAAAUAAAGUGGCAACUACACCCUCUCUCAUUAUUCCCAUUAUUAAUGUUAUAGACAAAAAUUUAUAUUUUAGAUUUAUUGAAUUGUUAAUUUAUUUGUUUUAUAAUAUUGGUAAGAUACAUCAAUUUUUCAAUAAAUUUAAAAAAUUAUUUUUUUACUUGAUAUGAAGAUGUAUAUUAUCCACCUUUUAGUAACAGUAAAAUGUUCAAUGGCACAUGUUAUCUACAGCCAACUUGUUCUUCCAACUUGCAAGUCAUUUAUCAGUAUUAUUAUUUUUUGACAAAUAGAGUUGCUAGUAUUUUUUGGACAGAAGUUACAAGUACUACCAAAAAAAGACGUUUUUUUUUUUGUUUUUGUUGAUCAUGUGUAGACGUAUUUUAUUAAAUUAGAAAAGACACUGGUUAUAAUUAUAAAGUUGCAUAUAUAAAAAAUAAAAAAGACUAAUUGAUAUUUUUAUGGGAGAUUUGAAUGAUUGUAUUAUUGAGUUGAAUAUGACAGCAAAUAUGGGCUGGAAUCUUGAUAUGAAGUGGCAACAUUUUUGGGCAACAUUGUUUAUGGUAAGACAAUUGUUGUCCACACUUCACACAAUGCUAAGAAACAUCUGAAAAAUGUUAAUUGGAGGGCUGAUGCUGAUUUAGUGUGUUCUAAACAAUAGGAAAAACAGUUGUUAUUGAUAGUUUCAGGUAACAAUAAGACAUGAUGAUAACAUUCAGCAAAAUAAUAAUUUUUUUUAGCUUGAUGAAAUAAUCAAUUUACAAAUAAUGUAGUAUUGCCUCCUCUCAAAAAAUAAAAUUUAGUCUUGCCCAGAAAUUUAUGUGCAAUUGUGUUCUUCCAAUAUAUAGUUGUUUAUGGAAUUUGAUAUGCCUUCAUAUAUUGAAAUGUAGUAUUUUAUUAAUUAGUAUAAGCACAAUACAUUUAUGGCCAUUACUUUUCCUCACCUUUGCUACUACAAAAUCCUCAUAUUAUUUAAGUUUACAGUCAGAUAAAGCGAGAAAUGUUAGCAAUACGUACUUUAACAUACACUUUUCAAUAUACUCUUUUUGAUUGGUUAAAAUUUACAUGAGUUUCAUCAAAUCAUGUGGUUCCCAUAUAAAUUUUGUGAGACGUAUGUGAACUUUAACCAAUCAAAGAGAGUAUUUGAAAAAUGUGUGUUGUUCUCGUUUCUUUGGAUAACAAAUAUUUGAUGUUCGGGGUGGGGAAAGUAACCCCUUACAUCUAGAGCUUUAUGUAACCAUUCUCGAUCAUCCACUUGAGACUCCAAUGGUUAUAUUGACAUUUGUAUGCCCAAUAAGCCCAUCCAAAUGUUGCACGAGAAUACACAUCUAGUUGUGCUUGGCCAUAUCUUUGGUAGUCUUGCAUAGAUGCACCUUGCACAAGAAACUCAUCAGUCCAUUCCCCUAUCAAAAGAAAAAAGCAAAAACAUAUAGUUAUCACCAAUAUAUAAUAUAACCUCCAAGAACUAUCAAUAAAGUUAUCUAGGACAUAAUAUAACAUAUAGUUUGUUUGAUUGUUGAUAUAUUUGAAAAAUAUGAUAGUAAACAAGAUACAAAGUUUGGAAGAAAAAAAACUGUAUAAGUUGUUCUAGAGAAUCUGAGUUUGAAUCUUGAGAUUUGACACUUACCUACAAAACUAAGAGCGUUUGUUGAAGAGACGCCGCUAAGAUCUGAGGCUCUUUCGUUGUUUAUGUAGUCAAUAUUUUGUUGAACAUUCAUGUUAGUGAAUUUGUCCGAAUAAAGAUUGUAGUAAUGCACAUCAAGGACAACUUUGUUGAAUCCAGUGACAAAUGAGAGAAGUACUUUAGAAUCUGCAUCCAAUGGGUUUGACAUUAUCACAUAAGCAUUUGGAUUGUAUUUCCUCACUGCAUCAUAAGCCUCCUUGUAAUAUUUCUUGAGGCUAUCUAGAUUGACACCUUGUGGCUCAUUCAUCAACUCUAUUCCUCCUAAACUUGGUCUAUUACCAUACCUGUCCACAAAUUCAAUUCAAGUAUCAAAGAAAUCAGUCACUUAAUUAGUACAUAUCAUCAUAUAUAUCAUUAGAAUUCAAGUCUAAGUGGUUAGUCCCACAUUCAUUAUGAAUAGGCUAAAUGAUUGAUAUAUAAGAAAGGUAACUCGUAUAUUUAAUGUUUUAAAUUUUUGUGUGGAGAUCUGAAGUCAAGAUGUGGCAUGUUACGUAGGUGGUGUAUUUUGGCAGUUCUGAUAACUAGAAUCAGGUGGCAUGUCUCGUCAAGAGCAACAACGAACUAAACAGAUGAAGAAAAAUCUUGGUGCGUCCAAACGGCCUGAACCAUGGGAAACAUGUGAGCGGGAAUUUGAAUUCAAAUUCUGACAGGUAGGUCCCUCAAGAAAGGGAACUUCCUACUUUUUAUGCAUUAUGGCGGACACACUUGUAGAUAAUAACCACUCAUAUUUGAAUAUUAUACUACUUAUACUCGAUAUAUGGGAUACCUCUCUUGUAUUAUUUUUGUUUAACUCAUUUCUACUCGAUAUGAGAUGAGACUAAUCACUCACGCUUCAAUUCUAGUGUAUAUCACACAACUAUUAAAGAGAAGAAACUCAUGAGUCCAUUAUCAAGAAACAAACCUUUUUGCUAGGAAAUCUAUGACAGAGACUGUCUGAGGUAUGUAUGAUUCACCCCAUUCUAUAAAUCCAUCUCUUGUUCCACUGUGAUCAUUACCAUUUUGAGAACCUUCAACUGCAUGCAAGUCCACAAUCACUUUCAUCCCAUGGAUUCUGUAAAUUACAAAGAUAUAUACUUGAUUGGUAAUCAUGAAACAUUAAGAUAAAAUAAAAUAAAAAAAGCAAAUUAAAUGAGCACAAAAAGGUACAUUACUUGUUACGCGACGCUACUAGAAAAAGUUAAAAUAACAACGGAAAUUCAAUAAAAAAAAAUAUUUAAAAUUGGUCACCAAAUUUAGUUUGUCUAACACUUCGCAACGGAUAUUGUCUUUCUGUCUCUAAAUUUUCAUCGCUAUUUCAAUUUUUCUAAUAGUGUGUUGCGAUUUAAUUAAAAUAUCGUCUCAAAGACUUACUGUGCCCAUGUGAAAGCAUUGUCUAAUGCUGCCAAUGAUCCUCCAACAAAAGGCUUAGGUGGGUUUGGAUCUUGAGCUAUCCACCAUCCAACAGGUAUUCUCACUGCAUUUAAUCCAUUUUGUGACAUGAAUGUGAAAUCAUCUUCAGUUAUGUAAGAAUUCCAAUGGUCCUGCAAAGCAAACAAAGCUCAAAAUUAAGAUGAUAUGGAAAUCCAACAAAGAUUUUCAACAAGUAAUAGUUUCUCAUGAAAAUUUUAUAGGAAUUCUCACCCUUAACACUUGAGGAGCUUUAUCUGGACCAUAACCAUUAGUAAGUUGGUACUCUCCUUCUAAAGUUCUUACAAUUUUCAUACGAAAUACUGAUGGGUCACUUUCUUCCCAACUUGUGCCUUGACCAUAAUCAGCUGUCACUAAUGUCUCUGAUCGAACCUUCAUACAUAUAUGUCAAAGGAUUUACAUUUCUAUGUUAAUUAUUAAUAACUUAAUCAACAAGCUAUCACUAUGAAAAAGUUGAAUUAAAUUAGAUACUCCCUCCUUCAGUCUCAGUUAUCAGCAAAAAUUCAUUUUCUAGAUUCAUUCAAUAAUUAAUGUAUUUGGUCCAUAAUACAGACCAGAUACAUUAGUUAUUGAAUAAAUCUAAAAAAAUUAACUUUUGCUUAUAACUGAUAUCAGAAUGUUGUCUCUAUUAGAGUUGUCAAAAUUUGAGACCAGUUUCAUUUUUCUUAUGUCUUGUAUUAGUAGUUCAACUUCUUCUUAUAGCAUUUUAAGAUCUUGAUUGAAAAAGAAUUGGUUUCUUAAAGUUUUUUUAGAAGUUCAGUAUUUAUUUAGAAUACAUAAUUUGGUAAAAAAUUUCCAAAAUAAACAACUUGAGGAUGGAAUGAAUUGAUGAGUACCUGCCAAUAUAGACCAUUUGAUGCUUUGAUUCGAAUUUUGAGGGGAUCACCACUGUUCCUUAUAAUCUGAAAUGUUUCUUGGUUGCUAGGUGAAUUUGAAACGGCUACAAUUUUGUUGUCUCCUUGAUUAUUUAUCCCCAUAAAUUGCUUGUUAAAGACUCUAAAAUUGAAGUAUGUGUCAUUGACCCUCCAAAGCUGCAAGUGCAAAUAGUUAGAAUUUACCAAGGGUGAUUAAGAUUUCUAAAGUUUAGUGUGUGUGACAAAAAAAAGUAGAAAACACUUGGUAUAAAGGAUGAUAGUUAAGUGCAUUUAAUUUUAUUGAUUUUUGGCUUAAAUAUAUUUUUCAUCCUUGUAAUUAUAGGCCGUUUGAUUUUUCAUCCAUGAACUUACUAAUCCUUCCAUUUUGCCCCUGUAAUUACUAAUCAUUUGAAAGUUCGUCCCUCUUCCCGGAUAAUCACUGCCACGUCAUCAAAUUAGCAAAAUGGCAUGGGAAUUGACAAAAAUACCCCUGGCUUAUUUUUAAAAUUCUGAAAAUUGUUUUUAUAAAUUAAAAAAUCUGAAAAUAAUUUUAAAAAAUAAAAAAAAUUCUAAAAAUAUUUUGAAAAUAACUUUUUCGAAAAAAAAUGAAAUUAUUUUUCAAAUAAUUUUAAAAAAUAUAUAAUCAGAUUUUUUCGAAAUUAAUAUUCUGAUUUUUAAAAAAAUCUUUAAAAAAAAUCAGAUUUUUUAAUAAUUUUCGAAAUUAUAUAUUCUGAUUUUAAAAAAAAUAUAUAAUUUUCCAUUUUUUUUUCAUAUUUCAAAAAAUAUAUUUUUUAAAAUUAUAUAAUCGUAAAUUUUUUCGAAAUUAUUAUUAUGAUUUUUAAAAAAAUCAUAUUUUUUAAUAAUUUUUGAAAUUAUAUAUUCAGAUUUUAAAAAAUUAUAUAAUUUUAUAUUUUUUUCAUAUUUCAAAAAAUUAUAUUUUUUUAAAUUAUUUUCAGAUUUUUAAAUUUUUAAAAAUAAGCCAGGGGUAUUUUUGUCAAUUCUCAUGCCAUUUUGCUAAUUUGAUGACGUGGCAGUGAUUAUCCGGAAAGAGGGACAAACUUUCAAAUGAUUAGUAAUUACAGGGGCAAAAUGGAAGGAUUAGUAAGUUCAUGGAUGAAAAAUCAAACGGCCUAUAAUUACAGGGAUGAAAAUCAUAUUUAAGCCUUGAUUUUUUUUAUAAAAUAGAAAACACAUUUACUAGUCUACACCUAAUUGUAAAUUUUCCCUCAAAAAAAAAAAAAAAAAAAAAAAACCUAAUUGUAAAUUUGUAAUGAUCCUCUCCUCAUAACAGUGAAGGAUUGAUGUAAGGUUAUGUUUAGAACAUAUAAAUUUAAGGUGUUUAUAAUACUUAAAUUUUGUUUUUAUUUAUCUAACAAAUUUAAUCAUUUUACUUAUAACUUAGGGUCCGUUUUUUUCCUGUGAUGAUUGGGAUUCGAAUCCCAGACGUUGCAUAUAUUAUGCAUUGUUCCUACCAACUGAGUUAAGCUCACGAGGACACUUAGGGUCCGUUUGUUAUAUAUAAAAAAUAGUAGCGAUUUUUUCUUUGUGUUGUUUUAAAAUAUAUAUAUAUAUAUAUUUAUGAAAAUUGUCUCAAAUAUAGUAACAAAUUUUUAAAUUCAUUUAUUAUAAUUAAAAAAAGUUAUUUUCAUAAUAAUUAACUUAAUUUUUAUUGUUAGAUAUUAAACAUUAAAAUCACAUUUUUUUCAAAAAUGAUUUAAACAAAAUGAUAUUAAACAAAAAUAGCUUCUCAUUUUAAACAUUUUUCUAAAAAAAAUAUAUUUAAAAAAGCUGUACCAAAAGGAUAAAAUAUUUAAAAUAACAUUUUAUGAGAAACAAUUCAAACCAAUUUAUCAUUUGAAAUUUUUUAGAAGAAAAAAAAUGUUAAAAAGGUUAUAACAAAAAGAUGAUUUAAAAAAAAAAUAAAUAAAUAAAACUAUGACAAACAACUGAAAUGAGAGUAAUAUGUUACUUACCGGGAAUGUUUCCCAACCAGAAGCUGAGUCACGGUUGGCUACAAUACCUGCUCCUCCCCCAUUAUCAGCUGCAAGAUAUUUUUGAAACUUUGUGGACAUAAGUUGUACUUGAGUUCCAUCCUACAAUCACCAAAUGUAACAAAAAGUUGUUCAUUUACAUAAAGAAAAAUGUUACAUAAACACUGUUUAUUCAUACACCUUUGUACACCCAUGCAUUAGGAAGAGAGAAGAGGAGAUGAAAGAGAAAAUGUGUUUGUGUGGAGUCCACGUAACCAUAUGUCAGAUUUUUGUGUGGGUGUCAAGGGGGGUGUAUUGCAACCUAUGGUUGACUAUGUAUCAUAACUCUUACAUAAAACACACAUGCAAAGUAUAAACAAUGUUGUCGUACAUGAAUCAUUUCCCUUUUUGUGUGACUUUUACUCAAGUAAUCAGGAGCAUCUUUAAUGGAGAGUCAUUUACUUAAUAAAAAUCUCACAUUAUUAAAGAUCCUCAUUGAAGGAAGAAAAAAAUGUAUAUCUAUUAAUUAGCGACAGCUAUAUAAAAACUUUAUAUUCAUCAACUAUAGAGUCUCAAGUUAAAAAAGGAAAUAAAGUAGUUAAAACUUUGUCUCCUCAUCUCAAGUUCAUUUGUUUUUUUCUCUUUUUAAUUUAUUUUUAUUAAUUUUUAAAUACACAUAUUAAAGUACAUAUUAUUGUUAAAGUACAUAUUAUUGGAUCUUUACUCUUUUCAGUUUAUUACCAUUGGAAUUAUUGAGACCUUAAUAGGUACUUUAAUUUCAAAAUUAUAAAUAAAUGAUGUGUACAUGUGAGACUCAAAGUCUUUAGUUUACUACUAUUGUGGAUGUUCUAUUAAGAAUUCAAAAAUGGAAACAAUCGAUAAUCUUUUUAUAGAAAAAGUUUUUUUUUUUUUUGUUAUUUAAAUGUGUUGAAUACAUAAAUCUCAAGAUAAAUGCUUCUCAUCAUGUGUCUUGCAUUUACCUCAACUUAAUUUGGUAAACUUCAAAAAAUUACUCCCUUCGCGCAAUUAAAUAUAUAAAACCUUUUGACAAUUUUUUUAUGCUUCUUUUAAAUUUUCAACUGUAUUAAUUAUUUUUACCCAUAUAUCUCUUCUUAUGUUACAUCUUUUUUGUAACAUGUAAUAAGUAUUAUAAUGAAAACAUAAUUACUUUUAUCUCAUAAAAGAUAAACUUGUCAAACAAUAUCGUACAAGUUAUCAGUAAAUUUACUACUUCUACCAGAAUAAGAGUUAAGAAAUAAGAGAAUUGAAGAUUCCCCAAAUUCUCUCUUCCAUAAACAAAAUUGCUUUAAUGUUUUAACUAUAUGAAAUGAUAUUAUGUGAUACGUACCAAUAGAUCUUUGUUGACAAUUCCUUCAAAGAGAGAAGGUUUCAUCCACCCCUCAGCCAAGAGCCAGUUUCCUAGAUUCACAGCUUUGUAUGGUGGAUUUUGUGCAAGCAAACUAGAGUAGGGACAUGAGAGAAA
rnacentral:lncRNA from 1 species